rnacentral:rRNA from 1 species
AUUGAACGCUGGCGGAAUGCUUUACACAUGCAGGUCGAACGGUAGAGGGGGCAACCCCUCGAGAGUGGCGAACGGGUGAGUAAUAUAUCGGAACGUGCCCAGUCGUGGGGGAUAACGUAGCGAAAGUUACGCUAAUACCGCAUACGAUCUAAGGAUGAAAGCGGGGGAUCGCAAGACCUCGCGCAAUUGGAGCGGCCGAUAUCAGAUUAUGUAGUUGGGGGGGUAAAGGCUCACCAAGCAAACGAUCUGUAGCUGGUCUGAGAGGACGACCAGCCACACUGGAACUGAGACACGGUCCAGACUCCUACGGGAGGCAGCAGUGGGGAAUCUUGGACAAUGGACGCAAGUCUGAUCCAGCCAUUCCGCGUGCAGGAUGAAGGCCCUCGGGUUGUAAACUGCUUUUGUACGGAACGAAAAGGUCUCUCUUAAUACGGGGGACUCAUGACGGUACCGUAAGAAUAAGCACCGGCUAACUACGUGCCAGCCGCCGCCGUAA